GCACUGGCCCGCCCCCUCCCCAAUUCGAGGAGUGGAGGGAAGGAGGAGGGAGGGGGCGACCACCCGCCGCGAGAGGGUCUUUUGUGCGCGCGUGUGCGCGCAGAGCGAAGGCGGCGGCGCUGCCCUCCCCGCCCGUUGCCUCGAGGGGAGAGGAAGGGAGGUCCGUGCAUGCGAGCCGCCCCCUCCUCGGGUUGCAAACUCCGCGCCGGGGAAGGCUUCCCACGACCGCAGAACAUGAAAGUAAGGUGUGGAAUGUGUUUGCCAAUAUUUCCACCCAGCUCUUGUGGCACCAUUGAGUGGAAGAACCAGGAGAAGAGAAAAAGGACGCAAAUAAAUGAAGCUGCAGGCUUGGAAACGCUGCUGACAUCAUUAACUUUGUGCUGGAAGCAUGUCUCUGGGAUCACGAAGAAGGGUUAAGCCAAUUGCACUGCGUCUGGGAUGGUUCAUUUGAAGCUGGCGACAGAAGCUGGAGUUUCCAAUGGCCCCACCACCACUGGAACCACCACAGUCCUUUCUGGCUGCACGUGUGCGGAUGUCUUUAUCGAUAUGGAAAUGUAGUCUAAGUCUGGUCUACUAAUAACAUCUAAAGUUUUGAAAGGAGGCAGAAUUUCUCUCCCCUAACAUUCUUCGAAUUGUACAAAAAAGACUUAGGAAGGGGGGAAGAAAGAGCAGGGGAGGUCUAAGAGACAUGAAAGGAGCAGGUAGUCCUUGACUUACGACCACAAUUGGGACCAGAACUUCCAUUGCUAAGUGAGGUGGUGGUUAAGUGAGUCACACCCAGCUUUAUGACCUUUUCGCCAUGGUCGUUAAGUGAAUCACUGUGGUUGUUAGGGGAAUCACGUUAUUAAGUGAAUCCGGCUUCCCCCAUUGACUUUGCUUGUUGGAAAGCGGCUGGGAAGGUUGCAGAUGGUGAUCGUGUGACCCCGGGAUGCUGCAACUGUUGUAAAUACAUGCUAGUUGCCAAGAGCCUGAAUUUUGAUCAUGUGACUGCAGGGACGCUGCAAUGGCCGUAAGUGCGAGGACUGGCCGUAAGUCACUUUUCAGCGCCGUCAUAACUUUGAACGGUCGCUAAACAAAUGGUUGUAAGUCGAGGACUACCUGUAACUGAUAAAGGAUGGGAGUAGCUAAAUUCACACGUGCUUGUGUAGCCAUGAUUUGUUGUACACACCACAAUGGGGUUGGCUCACCCUCGGAACAUAAAUCAAGGUUUACAAGCCAUGUUGGGAGCAUUACCCAGGAUGCUAAGCCAGAAGUGACUGUUGUGGGUUUGUAUAAUGAAUGGUCCCACCCUGAGAGUUGUCUAGAAGAAUGAGAGGGUGAAAGAAGAGCAGGAAUCCCAGAGCAAAGAAGGCUAAAGAAAGAUUGGACAUAGGGGAACUCUCCAUGUGCUGAAAUGCUCUAGAGGGCCAGAAACUUGUCAAUUACAUGCUGUAUUGAGCUGACCUAAUUUCACAUUUCGGAAACAAAACACACGCCAAAAUGUAAUUAUCGUUUGGAAUUUGCCUACCUCUCAAGUUUAUUCAGGGAAACUUUGCUAAUGAAAAAGUAUCACAGUAGAAAAAUACAUCAGGCAAAAGGCUUCCAGAAACACAUACAUGAAGCCAAGUUGCAUAAAAUGGGCCCGUAUUAGGAGAAAGGCCUAUGAAAAUGUCUCCCGCUUUUUGUGCAGAGUUUUCAGCAAAACUUCAAAUGGAGGUGGAAAUUGGUUGGGCAGAAUUCAGAAGUGGAAAAACGAGGCACGGAGAAGAAACAGAAUUGACAAAUUUUGUCCAUCACUGGAUCUGACAUAACCCAACAGUUCUUUAGCGUCAAGUCUCUAGGCUGAUUUACUUCUUGGUCUCCCCCCACUUCCCCAAUUAUUCUGCCUCUUCUUUAAAAGCCUAAAAAAUAAAUAAGUAAAUACUUCAACCCCUGUGCACUCAAUAUUCAUUCCC